UUACCAUGCAAGUCGAACGAUGAACCCGGGGCUUGCUCUGGGGGAUUAGUGGCGAACGGGUGAGUAACACGUGAGCAACCUGCCCCUGACUCUGGGAUAAGCGCUGGAAACGGCGUCUAAUACUGGAUAUGAGCCACGAUCGCAUGGUCUGUGGUUGGAAAGAUUUUUCGGUUGGGGAUGGGCUCGCGGCCUAUCAGCUUGUUGGUGAGGUAAUGGCUCACCAAGGCGUCGACGGGUAGCCGGCCUGAGAGGGUGACCGGCCACACUGGGACUGAGACACGGCCCAGACUCCUACGGGAGGCAGCAGUGGGGAAUAUUGCACAAUGGGCGGAAGCCUGAUGCAGCAACGCCGCGUGAGGGAUGACGGCCUUCGGGUUGUAAACCUCUUUUAGCAAGGAAGAAGCGAAAGUGACGGUACUUGCAGAAAAAGCGCCGGCUAACUACGUGCCAGCAGCCGCGGUAAUACGUAGGGCGCAAGCGUUAUCCGGAAUUAUUGGGCGUAAAGAGCUCGUAGGCGGUUUGUCGCGUCUGCUGUGAAAUCCCGAGGCUCAACCUCGGGCCUGCAGUGGGUACGGGCAGACUAGAGUGCGGUAGGGGAGAUUGGAAUUCCUGGUGUAGCGGUGGAAUGCGCAGAUAUCAGGAGGAACACCGAUGGCGAAGGCAGAUCUCUGGGCCGUAACUGACGCUGAGGAGCGAAAGGGUGGGGAGCAAACAGGCUUAGAUACCCUGGUAGUCCACCCCGUAAACGUUGGGAACUAGUUGUGGGGUCCUUUCCACGGAUUCCGUGACGCAGCUAACGCAUUAAGUUCCCCGCCUGGGGAGUACGGCCGCAAGGCUAAAACUCAAAGGAAUUGACGGGGACCCGCACAAGCGGCGGAGCAUGCGGAUUAAUUCGAUGCAACGCGAAGAACUUACCAAGGUUGACAUACACCGGAACGCCCUAAAAUGGGAACUCUUUGCACUUACAGGUGGGCAUGGUCGUCAGUCGUGUCUGAAUGUGGGGUUAAGUCCCAACAAACCCUCGUUCUG
rnacentral:rRNA from 1 species